GAGGAGGGAUGGGGAGGGAGGUGGGGAUGGGGAUACGGGGAUGUGGGGAGAAGUGGGGAGAGGUGGAAAGAGAUGGAGGGAUGGGGGGGUGGAGAGGGAUGGGGAGAUGGAGGGAUGGGGAGAGAUGGAGAGGGAUGGAAAGAGAUGGAGAGAUGGAGGGAUGGAGAGAUGGGAGAGAUGGAGAGAAGGAGGGACGGAGGAAUGGAGAGGGAUGGAGAGAUGGAGGGAUGUGGAGAGAUGGAAAGGGAUGGAGAAAUGAAAGGGAUGGAAAGAGAUGGAGAGAUGGGGAGAGAUGGAGGGAUGGAGAGGGAUGGAGAGAUGGGGAGAUGGAGAAGUGGAGACGUGGAUGGACAGAGCUGGAGAGGUGUAGAGAUGGAGAGAGAUAGGGAGAGGGAUGGAGAGAUGGGGACAUGGAGAGGUGGAGACGUGGAUGGACAGAGGUGGAGAGACGGAGAGGUGGGGCUGUGGAGAGAUGGAUGCAGAGCUGGAGAGGUGGAGAGAUGGAGACACGAAGAGGUGGAGAGGUGGAAAGAUGGAGAGGCGGAGAGAGAUGGAGACAUGGAGAGAUGGAAGUGGAGACAGAUGGACAAAGAUGGAAAGGUGGAGAGACGGAGACGUGGAGGUGAAAUGGGGAGACAUGGAGAUCCAUGGACGUGGAUAUGGGGAGAGAUGGAGACAGAGAGACGUGGGAGAUGGAGAGGUGAAGAAAUGGAGGGGCGGACAGGUCGAGAGAUGGAGGGAUGGGUAAAAAGGGGACAAAGACGUGGAGAGAUGGAGAGAUGGACGGACAGAGGUGGAGAGGUUGAGAUGGAGAGAGAUGGAGAGGCAGAGAUGGAGAGAUGGAUGGGCAAAGAUGGAGAGGCUGAGAUGGAGAGAGGGAUGGACAGAGGUGGAGAGGCUGAGAUGGGCAGAGAUGGAGAGGCUGAGAUGGAGAGAGGGAUGGACAGAGGUGGAGAGGCUGAGAUGGAGAGAUGGAUGGGCAAAGAUGGAGAGGCUGAGAUGGAGAGGCUGAGAUGAAGAGAUGGAUGGACAGAGGUGGAGAGGCUGAGAUGGAGAGAGAUGGAGAGGCUGAGAUGGAGAGAUGGAUGGACAGAGAUGGAGAGGCUGAGAUGGAGAGAUGGAUGGACAGAGAUAGAGAGGCUGAGAU
ensembl:lncRNA